GACGAACGCUGGCGGCGUGCUUAACACAUGCAAGUCGAACGGAAAGACCCUGCUUUUGUUGGGCGCUCGUGUGGCGAACGGGUGAGUAACACGUGAGUAACCUGCCCUUGUCUUUGUGAUAACUUUACGAAACUCGGGCUAAUACCGGAUAGGAGCUCCUGAUGCAUGGUGGGGGUUGGUAAGUUUCGGCGGUUGGGGAUGGACUCGCGGCUUAUCAGCUUGUUGGUGGGGUAGUGGCUUACAAAGGCUUUGACGGGUAGCCGGCCUGAGAGGGUGAACGGCGACAUUGGGCCUACGGGACGGCCCAGACGCCAACGGGAGGCAGCAGUGGAGAAUAUGGCAGAAUGGGCGGGAGCCUGAUGCGGAGACGCCGCGUGCGGGAUGACGGCCUUCGGGUUAUAAACCGCUUUCGCCUGUGACAAAGAGUGAUUGACGGUAAUGGGUAAAGAAGCACCGGCUAACUACGUG
rnacentral:rRNA from 1 species